AGUUUGAUCCUGGCUCAGAUUGAACGCUGGCGGCAUGCUUUACACAUGCAAGUCGAACGGCAGCGCGGGCAACCUGGCGGCGAGUGGCGAACGGGUGAGUAAUAUAUCGGAACGUACCCAAGAGUGGGGGAUAACGUAGCGAAAGUUACGCUAAUACCGCAUACGAUCUAAGGAUGAAAGCAGGGGAUCUCCGGACCUUGUGCUCCUGGAGCGGCCGAUAUCUGAUUAGCUAGUUGGUGAGGUAAAGGCUCACCAAGGCCACGAUCAGUAGCUGGUCUGAGAGGACGACCAGCCACACUGGAACUGAGACACGGUCCAGACUCCUACGGGAGGCAGCAGUGGGGAAUUUUGGACAAUGGGCGAAAGCCUGAUCCAGCAACGCCGCGUGAGUGAAGAAGGCCUUCGGGUUGUAAAGCUCUUUUGUCAGGGAAGAAACGGUGAGGGCUAAUAUCCUUCGCUAAUGACGGUACCUGAAGAAUAAGCACCGGCUAACUACGUG
rnacentral:rRNA from 1 species